rnacentral:rRNA from 1 species
ACUACGGGAGGCAGCAGUGAGGAAUAUUGGUCAAUGGUCGGGAGACUGAACCAGCCAAGCCGCGUGAGGGAUGAAGGUACAGAGUAUCGUAAACCUCUUUUGUCAGGGAACAAAGGCGGGGACGUGUCCCCGGAUGAGUGUACCUGAAGAAAAAGCAUCGGCUAACUCCGUGCCAGCAGCCGCGGUAAUACGGAGGAUGCGAGCGUUAUCCGGAUUUCUUGGGUGUAAAGGGUGAGCAGGCGGUCUGUUAAGUCAGCGGUCAAAGCCCGGGGCUCAACCCCGGCCCGCCGUUGCAACUGGCAGUCUCGAGUUGGAGAGCAGUCUGCGGAAUGCGCGGUGUAGCGGUGACAUGCAUAGAUCUCGCGCAGAACUCCGAUUGCGCCGGCAGCAUGCCGGCUCCACACUGCCGCUGAGGCACGACAGCGUGGGUAUCGAACAGGAUUAGAUACCCCAGUAGUC